AUCUGGAGGAACUCUGGAAUUAAUUUAAGGAAAGGAGAAGGGGUGGGGGAACCUAGAAGGAAAUUAGUAGCCAAAUAAUCAGACUUCCUGACUUUAUUAUUACCUUUGUGGCCAAGGCAAGUCAUUUUCAGCAUUAAUUACAAGCAGAGAGGGAAUGGGCCAGCUAUCUUGUCUCAAACUCUGCGAUGUUUUGUUCUGUUUUUUUUUUCUUUUUUUCCUGCACUGGUGCUGGGGUGGGGAUGUGAACAGAGCCAAGAAAGAACAGACAAAACAGCCACAUCUCUUUUCUUGCAUGACCGUGCGACAAAGCCUGUUUCUAAAAGCAGAGCUCCCCAUUGGAUCUCCCAUCAAGCAGGAAGCAUGUGAGAAAGCAUCCCCUCUCUGGAUAAAUCUUUGCAUCUCCUGACUAGCAGGACAGAGGAGUCUCAGCCGAGCAGACCUUUUAUUAAAACCGGAGUGUUUUCCAUCAUUUGGCCUUUACAUGUUCCACGUUUCAUUUGCUGAAAUUACUGGCAGGUUUAUCUGCAACAAAGACAGAAAGAGACCAAGAGGCAGCAGCCCAGUUCUGAAACACCCCUCCGAGAAGCCCAGCUCGGACGUGCAAAGCAGACAGUGAUGGCUUUUCCACCCUUUUCUCUCUGGUGGUUUCUCAUCUCACAGUAGAAUUUCGUUUCCCCUAGAAACUUGGCACAGGAGGUGUCAGCCCGGGAACAUAUUUGUUUGUGUAAAUUAAAAGGAGAAUAUGUUUUGACCAUAUUUAAGUCCUAGCUGUGCUAAAGAAAUAAAUACUGAGUUGCAC
ensembl:lncRNA